GACGAACGCUGGCGGCGUGCUUAACACAUGCAAGUCGAACGGUAAGGCUCCAGCUUGCUGGGGUACACGAGUGGCGAACGGGUGAGUAACACGUGGGUGACCUGCCCUGCACUUCGGGAUAAGCCUGGGAAACUGGGUCUAAUACCGGAUAGGACCGCACCGUGAGGGUGUGGUGGAAAGUUUUUUCGGUGUGGGAUGGGCCCGCGGCCUAUCAGCUUGUUGGUGGGGUAAUGGCCUACCAAGGCGGCGACGGGUAGCCGGCCUGAGAGGGUGGACGGCCACAUUGGGACUGAGACACGGCCCAGACUCCUACGGGAGGCAGCAGUGGGGAAUAUUGCACAAUGGGCGGAAGCCUGAUGCAGCGACGCCGCGUGGGGGAUGACGGCCUUCGGGUUGUAAACUCCUUUCACCAUCGACGAAGGGUUUCCGACGGUAGAUGGAGAAGAAGCACCGGCUAACUACGUG
rnacentral:rRNA from 1 species